rnacentral:lncRNA from 1 species
AACUUUAAAUUCCCCCAGUGUGGCGAACGUUUGAUACAAGUCCACUCCAAGCCUGGAAAAGCACUGAGAAAACACUGAUGAAGGCUCUGGGGGGGUUGAGCUGUCUGUCUCAAGGUCCUCAGGACAUAGGUGAUAAUGGCAAGGAGACAGAAGAAGGGAAACAGGUUUCUAAUCAAUGCUUAAUCGAUUUCCUCUCUACCAGAGCACCAGCUGCAUUUCUGUUUCAUAUUCAAACUGUAACUUGUACAUAUUCAAACUGCCAUUGUCUUGACCUGCUCAGUGAGGCCAUAGCCCCAAGGAUAGAUGAAGAGGAAACAUAACCAAAGUUGAGGCUUUUCUCCUUCAGCAAUAGGCAGUAUUUCCCAUCUCCUUGGGGCUUUUGGGGGGUUGCAGAGUAUCUCAGCUUUGCUACUGUUGACAUUUUUGAUUGGCUAUUCUCACUGUGGCAAAAUUUUUCUCUAUUACAGGUGUUAACUGUAUCCUUGACCUUGACACACUCGAUGUCAGCUGCACCUCCUGUCGCACUGAUUAUGGCAAUCAAAACUGUCUCCAGACAUUGGCAAAUGUCUCCUGCAGAUAGCUUCCAUCCUUAUGCUGAGACCCUUGUGCUGGCCCACACAGAAGCAAGGCUGAGAAACAUCUGCACUGAGAACAGAGUAGGACCAGGCAGGAUAUCACUUUUACUAGAAGUUGUUAGAACGUUUGGACUGCUUUGACAGUGUUUUCCUUACCAAUAGUGAGCCAUGGGUGCGUAUUUCAGGUCUCUGGACAAUCAUCAAGUGUGUAGGGGCCAUGGGAUCAGCUCUGGGCCGCAUGUUUCUUCUGCCUGAACUCAGCACUUAAGCUAAGGCCUCUCAUGAAAGGUUUCUGUUGGCCUUGUCCUGUGGCCAACAACUCUAGUGAACCAUGUAAGGUACCAAUCUUGUUGUGAAGCCGUCAGGGAUGUUUCUGAUCGCAGCUUGCCAGCCCACUCUCCCACUACCAUAGAGCAAAAUGCUUCUCAUUGCCCUUUGCCUGUGUUACCUCACCUGUGUCUGGAGCAGGGAUGGACUCUGACCCUCCUCUACUUCCUUCUCUCGUUUGAUUUUGAAGACUUAGCUAAGGGGCUCUUCCUCCAUGAAGCCUUCUGUGUAUACACAAACACAGAGAUACAGAGAGAGAGAGAGAGAGAGAGAGAGAGAGAGAGAGAGAGAGACCCCAUCUGUAAAUUCUUAUGGCCUUCAAGGACUGCCUCUUUCAGAGCAUCAUGUGACACCUUAGUGAGACUUUUGGUGUGGUUUUAUGUACCACAAUGGGUGAUGUCCAUGCACCAAUUUUUGACCCUCUGCUCUCACCACCCCCCUCACCCCCACACACAGGACAGAUGUUACCAGCUGGUAAAGCAGAUCUAAUAAAAAUGACUUCUCAGAGAUUCCUGACCACACCAAGGCUGUCCACAACCUACAGUCAACCGGACAGGUUAGACGUCUAAAUAGAUCUUUAUUUCUGAGCAACAUAAAUGAAAGACUCUAAAAAAACAAAGAACUAUAUUGGCAACAAUGAGAAGAGCAUGCCCUGUGUAGAAAGGCCUCCAUCCAAAAUGCCAGCCUGAAGCCCUCUUUAUUCCGAGUAUGUGUUGAGAGCUCUUGUCUCCAACCUGGCACCGACGUAGUUAAAGCUUCACCAUUUGCUUGUGUGAGGCUGAUUCUGCUGACUUUAUUUCAAGCAAUCAGAAAUAUCUAAUUUGCAUUCACAUUCACAUCAGUGGCCCAUAUGUUAGCCCUGUUUAAAAGCUAUAGGCUUGCAUUCAUUAUGAAAGACUUGGCUCCCCUCCUUAUCUCUUCACUUUAAAAUUACUGAGACACUGUCGCUACAAAGGGUUAUAUUUAGCAAAGGCCCAGCGUCUCCCAGUGCGUAUGUGUCUCUGCCUGCAUGUCUGUGUCUGAGAAGGAUCUGAUAUUUGCAUCUUUCUCCAAAAUAUCGUAGAACUUUCGAAACUGGAAAAGGAAGAACUGUCUCUUUCUCCACCCCUUUCCCAUGCGACAGCACUGCCUCCCACCUAGGGCAUCAAUAAAAUACCACGUGGAAAUAUUUCAGUGCGCAGGAUUCCAGACCACACCCUAAGCCUCUGAGAAGCAGGCCUCUGCCCCUUGGGUGAGCCUCAGUAGGAAAAUCAGUGCUUUUGUGAAGGUCCCAGCCAGGGUGGCCUCCCACACUCUGUCAUAGUCUGAUCGCCACUAUUCUCUUAUUCUAUUUACUAAACUCCUAGUAUGGGAUAAGCACUCAGAGGGCUGAUGGUACUGCUUUCUGUCAGCGAGCAAAGACAGCAGGAGGCAGCACCUCAGCAAUUACAGCCCCUGGGAAAAUGCUUUGCACUCACUAGGAUGUACAAAACACUGGGGCAAAGCCAGAGCUGGGCUCUUCCUGGAAGAUCAGGGCGGCAGGCAGGGCUUGCAGGGCAGGGCAGGGUGCUUGUCAAAAGCUGUGCACAUUAGGCCUUUGUAUUCUGGCAGGAAUUCCAGGACCAAAAGAUAAGGAGAAAAUAAAAGGAAGCAGGGUGUGUAAGCAAAGAGCACCUUUGUCCUACUCUAAGGCAGAUGGGUCCCUGUGGGCACACCCUCCCCCAUCUUUGAUGGCAGAGCUAAAAGAUGCAAAUGGCUGUGGCGUGUAAAACCCCCAACAACAGAGUCUUUGUUCUCUAGGAAGACUUACAAGAAACUGUUAAACAGGGGGAUUCUACAAAAAGUAGAGAAGACAGAGAAAGCAGUCAGAAGCCUGUAUCCUUUUAUCAUGCUUGCAAGUGUUUUCUUCUUCUUUCUCUGCACAGGCACUGGUAUUUAAAGAAAAAAAAAAAAAAAAGGAAGGUAUUUUUAAUUGAUAAAUUCUGGGAAGCAUUCCAUUGAAAAGAUUUUAUCCUUAGAGAAGCUAAUUACAGAAGAUGAAUCAUGACAGCAAGUUUAACAGAUUAGAUAAAGUGAAAGAAGCAAUAACCUGUGUAUGUUGAAUAUCUUCAUAUUAAAUCUUCCCUCCCAUGCCCCUGGACUGAGAGUGAACUCAGAAAAACUCAGAAGACCCUGAUGCUGUAGGAGGGGAGUUCCAGGAAGGACACAGUACAGCGCCUUUUGUCCCAGUGUAGUGAUGGAGGGCAUCCUUGCUUCAUGGAGGGUAUCCUUUCUCCAGGACCAACAAGUAGAAACUUACCCCCACUCCCCAUCACUACCAUUAGAAACACUGCAAGCCUGAGGGUAUAGUUAGGGAUGGAGCACUUUCCCAUGUGCCCCAGCCUGGGGCAGAACAGAGAGAAAGAGAGAAGAGGAGGGAGCACAGGAGAGUAAAGGGAGGGGAAAGGAAGCAAAAGUAGGGUAGAAGAGGGAGGCAGACACUUCUGUUUAACUUGGUGAGAGCUCAUUUUAUAGGAGUGUGACCUUAAAUUUAGAGAGGAAUGAAACAAGCCUUUUCAAGGGUCUGGGGUCCUGGUCCAGGAUGACAAUACUGGGAAAUGAUGGUCUUUGCUAGUUGUUCAAGAAAAAUCUAUACAAUAGCACACACACACACACACACACACACAGAAGGGUGUGUUUAUAUCAGGAAAGCCCUUGGAAUUCUGAAAUGUGUGCUUCCUAAGGAGCCAACUGUUUGCAGCAAGCCCCAGUGUGUGUUUGCCCUUUUAGUAAUCACACAGAUUUUCCUAGAUAUUUGACCAUCGCACUGGAAGAUCUUUCAUCUUGGCCAAUGAGGAAAGAAUGCAAGUGAUUGCAUAAUUCUGGGUACUCCUGCUGGAAGACAAUUCCACUCAUCCUGCAUCAGUCCACUUCUUUCCAACUGCAUAUGGAAUCCCAGUUGAAGAAAUCUAGGAGUUAAGGAUGGCAAAAUCUCAGCACCCUUGAAUUUCUGAGUGUCUCUUUAAGCCAUUAACAGCUGCCCUGCAAGAAGGACUUCUUCCUCUUCUCUCCUCUGCACUUGCUUGUCAAUGACUGAACUGGAUGCAGCCUGCCCUUGCAGGGAGUACAGGACUUGUCCACAGACUUACUUGACAUGCACUAACUGCUUGCCAGUGCUGGCAUUUGCAAUAAGCCUUGGAUAAGUCAUUUUGUUUCAUCCGUAAAUGCAGUAUUUUUGUGCUAUGAAGCUAAUGGGUUGAUGAAUGCAAAAUGCCUGGUGAAGUAUUUCAGGCUACAACAAGCACUGAAUUGGUGAUAAACCUGUUGAUUGUGGCCAUGGCAGUUGAAAGCGGCCUCCCCUAUAACCUGCUGAGAGUGAACAACCCUGGCCAUAUUUGCACUAAGAAGGGCCACAAGGAUGAACGAAGGAUUUGGCAAAGGAAGUGGCUUGUAUGUCAGGGCUGGCAUGACAAUAGACCAGCAUAGCCUGUUUUAUAAAGAUGUUAUGUCUCAAUUAAAUACAUGAAGUUCUCCAUGCUCACAAAUUUCCUAGAUUUGGGUUAGCUUCAUAUUGAAACUAUUUGAAAAAGAUUUUGUUUGUUCUGAGUAUAUUCGGGCUUUUUGCCUUGUCAUUAUUCCAUAGACAGCAUGGUUUAGCAUUUACUUAUACAGUUUGCCUUGUAUGAAAUAUUAUAAAUAACCUGGAGAUGAUUUAAAGCAUACAAAAGGAUAUGUGCAGAUUAUAUGUAAAUACUAUGUCAGUAUUUGGAGUCUGAGAGUCUUGUGGGGGUCCUGGAACCAGGCUCCUUUAUCUACCUAAGAAAGAUUGUACUCUCUUUUUAAAUGGGAAUAAAAUCGCAAAGGAAGCUGCCACUCUGAAGGGCAGUUUCCUGUUCAGUUCUAGAGGUGACUCAGCAGAGCAGAGGCUAAGGCAGUAUGGAUAGAUAGCAUUGAAUAAAGCAGCUGCAUAGAGAAAUCAGAAGGGGAGGAAAGGAGGGAGGGGGAAGGGAUGGAAGGGAUGGGAGAGAGAGGGAGAGAGAGAGAGGCAGAGACAGAGAGAGGCAGAGACAGAGACAGAGGCAGAGGCAGAGGCAGAGGCAGAGGCAGAGGCAGAGGCAGAGGCAGAGGCAGAGGCAGAGGCAGAGGCAGAGGCAGAGGCAGAGGCAGAGGCAGAGGCAGAGGCAGAGGCAGAGGCAGAGGCAGAGAUAGAAAGAAAGCAAAUACAACCUUGAAGCUUUUAGGAAUGGUAGCUUGGUCUCUGGGCCACCUUCCAGUUCCUACUCCAGUCCGCAGGAGUCUUGGCUGUAUUUUGUUUUCUAUCCUUUGAUUUCAGUAGACGUCCUUUGUGUGACUUUAUAAUACAUGCCUGCAUUUUGAAGCUGAUUUGAGGGACUCUGUUCUCAUCACCAACAAACUAGCAGUAGGCAUACCUCUUUCCAGCUAAACUAUGAGAUAUUUAAGUAAAAGGUCAUCACUUUUUUCACACCUUUAAGGUAUUCAAACAUACAGAAAAAUGAGGUGCAUUAUGACCUAACACAUAGUUUUAAUUAUUGUUAUAUUAGUUUUGCUUUAAUGACAUGAUGUUUUUAAGAGAAACAAGACACGUUAGUAUAGAUGAACCUUUCAGAUACUCAUCUUUAUUCCAUCCUUUGUCCACCUGUAAAGCAGCAAGGUUUUUGGAUUUAGUAUCUAUUGUUCACCCAUGACAUGGUUUUAUUUUGCAUUAUAUUGCAAAAAUGGAAUCAUUCUGAAGCUAUUUUUAUUAUAUUUUGGGAAUUAUUUAAUGCAGUUAUAAAACACUCAGCAAUAUUAUGUGAUUAAAUUAGAGUUUGUUUUUGUUCCUCUUGAUCAUUGUAUCUGCCUCAGAAGUUUUGCUGUUAUGGUCAAUGCUUCAAUAAAUUUUCUUGGACAUUUUUUU